AGGCAGCAGGCAGCAGGCAGCAGCCCUUCAGCAGCUCUCUCCUCCCUGAUUUACCUCAGGUUAUUCUGGGGGCAGAAUGGGGCAAACGGGGACCUCGGUUAGGAGGGACAGGACUUUAUGGAGUUUGGGAUACUCUGCCAGACUACUGAAAACUAAUGAUUUUAGGACAGCUGCAGCAAAUACAUCAUUUCCAGCAGUUUGGACACUGCUGGCUCGAUAUUCUGGCAUAAUACCUGGGCUCUUCGUAGUAGUUAGAAAAAAUAGAUUUUUUACAAUGCCUGACACUGUGGAGGAUAAAGCUGACCUCAGACUGUAUUCACCACAUCCUGGAGUGCGUGGGAUGACACAACUCGACAGAGAAGCUUUUAAAAGGACAAUUGUUGUUCCAGUUCUGAAAGUCAAGACAGAAAUUGUAUAUACUUUGUUGAAGUCCCUAAAACACGUGGUACUCCAGCGUCCUGGUCUAAAGCGAGUGAUUGAGGAUCCAGGAGAUGAGAACAGUAGAUUUCUCAUUCUGGAUCCUCAUAAAAUACCAGAAUUCUCAUUGGGAGAAUCAGAGCAAGAGGUAUUAAACCAGCUUAAUGUUCAUCCUGAGGUGUCCAAGUAUAACUUGGAGCUGACUUAUGAGAAUUUCAAGUCAGAGGAGAUACUAAGAGCAGUCCUUCCUGAAGGUCAAGAAGUCACCUCUGGGUUUAGCCGUGUUGGUCACAUAGCUCAUUUGAAUCUUAGAGACCAUCAGCUUCCAUACAGACAUUUGAUUGGCCAAGUUAUAAUUGACAAGAACCCAGGCAUCACCUGUGUAGUAAAUAAAACCAGUAUUAUUGACAGCACAUACAGAAAUUUUCAAAUGGAAGUGCUUGCUGGAGAGAGCAACCUGGUAACCAAGGUCAAAGAAAAUAAUAUUGCGUAUGAAUUGGACUUCUCUAAAGUCUACUGGAACCCACGUCUCUCCACCGAACACAGUCGUAUCGUUGAGCUUUUGAAGCCCAAUGAUGUCCUUUUUGAUGUCUUUGCUGGGAUUGGACCUUUUGCUAUUCCAGCAGCAAAGAAAAAGUGCCAUGUAUUUGCAAAUGAUCUCAAUCCUGAAUCCUACAACUGGCUCCUGCACAACUGCAAACUGAACAAAGUAGAUGACAAAAUUAAAGCAUUCAAUAUGGAUGGCCGGGACUUCCUGCUGGGGCCAGUAAGAGAAGAACUAAGUAAAGAGCUCCCACUUCAGAAAGAAGAACAAAAAACCUCUUUUCACAUAGUUAUGAAUUUGCCAGCUUUGGCUAUUGAAUUUCUGGAUGCUUUCCGGCAUCUCCUGGUCAGAGAACCAUGUGGCACUGCUGGUCUUCCCACGGUGCACUGCUAUGGUUUCUCCAAACACGAGAACCCAGCCAAAGACAUCCAACAGCGAGCUGAAGCUUCUCUAGGAACCUCCUUGGAUGGGCGCUGUUCAACUUACCUGGUUAGAAAUGUUGCACCCAACAAGGAGAUGCUGUGCAUUAGCUUCCAGAUCCCAGCGGAUGUGCUGUGCAAGAGGCCCUGCCCUGACGAAGAAAAAAAAGCCUCCAAACGUCUGUGCACCAGCAAUGAGUUUUCUGAAGACAAAUUUCUGAGCUGAAGACUAGAGUUACGGUAACUGCCUCAGUAGUUUAAGAGGAGGAAAAUCUCAUCCUUCCCAAAGGCCUUUUAGAACUGCUGUAUAAAACAAGAGCUCCUUCCCCCAGCCAGCAAUGAUGAAGGAAUACUGACAACAACAAAUAAUUUCCUUCAAAACACUGGUUUGAAACUAUCUCCACCCUCCAAGCCAGAGAGUAUUACAAAAAUCAAUUCCCUCUCAGAUUUCACAUCUGUCAUGGUUUUUUUCAUUGCAGAAACUUCAAUUUUCCACUCCUGCGUGGAGCAGUCCAGAGAAAACAGGGGAUUACUUUACGUUUCUCCAUUAACAAAGGCCACCUGAAAUUGGGGCAUUAGUUUCAUAACACAACCUGAUUUACAGCUAUUACAGCACUUACGGUUAAUUGGUAUGUGAUCUCUGAAGCAAUACAAAAUCAUUGAUAAAAAGACUCCUAUCAACUUUUACUAUGGCAACCUGUGUUAAUUACCCUUCCUCCUGUGGAACAAGCCUGACAAGCUGCUGGCUGUCAAGUGAGGUCUUUAUUUUCUUGUUAAGUAUCUGAACUUACUGCUCUUGACUGUUUAAUUACUGUGGUACACCAGGCAAUUGCAAAGAGAAGCCACACAAUGAGAAGUGAAUGUUUUGCCGGCUUUUCCCCACCAAUCACCAUCUGUGCAGCCUGAAUCCGGCUGUGCCCUUCACAGGAGAAUCUCUCUGAACUGGAUUCCUGGGGUUUCUGGCAGAGGUCAACACAUCUUUUCAUGUACACCUUUACAACAGCAGCAGGAAGAAGCGCCUGCCAAGUUUUAUUUCCAAAAAGUCAAGCUCCGUUAGGUCUUGGGACCUGGAGGUAAUUGCUCUCACUAGUUAGCAAAUUCCAGCACUCUAGGUCUGUUUUUCAUAGGUUUAUUUUAAGUAUCUGUAAAUCUUAUAAGCAGAAACCAGGAAAGAGAGGUUUGCUUUUUCUGGUGCAGAGUUUUUUAGUGUAACUUGUUUUUACUGCAGGGAGACUGAAGUUAAAAAAAGCCUGCACCAUUAUUUCUGAGCAAGGCUAAAGGGCCGUGUGUUCUCUGCCCCAUGGUUUCACACUUCUCACUGUAAUGCCUGCACUCCACUUCGGGCUCUGCCCAAACAAGUUUCCUUUCCUUAGCUGCAGCCGUUGGAUGUUGAUUUUUCCCAUUAACCUUUCACAUCAAUUAAAACACAUCGUAUUUUGUUCUUCA